rnacentral:rRNA from 1 species
UACGUAGGGUGCGAGCGUUAAUCGGAAUUACUGGGCGUAAAGCGUGCGCAGGCGGUUAUGUAAGACAGAUGUGAAAUGCCCGGGCCUUAACCUGGGAACUGCAUUGUGACUGCAUGGCUAGAGUUUGGCAGAGGGGGUAGAAUUCCACGUGUAGCAGUGAAAUGCGUAGAUAUGUGGAGGAACACCGAUGGCGAAGGGCAGCCCCCUGGGUCAAGACUGACGCUCAUGCACGAAAGGCGUGGGGAGCAAACGAGGAUUAGAGUACCCCUGAUAGCC